rnacentral:rRNA from 1 species
AGCGAACGCUGGCGGUAGGCCUAACACAUGCAAGUCGAACGGCAGCACAGUAAGAGCUUGCUCUUACGGGUGGCGAGUGGCGGACGGGUGAGGAAUACAUCGGAAUCUACUUUUUCGUGGGGGAUAACGUAGGGAAACUUACGCUAAUACCGCAUACGACCUACGGGUGAAAGCAGUGGAACUUCGCACCUUGCGCGAUUGAAUGAGCCGAUGUCGGAUUAGCUAGUUGGCGGGGUAAAGGCCCACCAAGGCGACGAUCCGUAGCUGGUCUGAGAGGCUGGUCGGCGACAUGGGAACGGAGACAGGGACCAGACUCCUGAGGGAGGGAGCAGUGGGGUAUAGUGGACAAUGGGGGCAAGCAUGAUCCAGCCAGACCGCGUGGGUGAAGGAGGCGCUGGGGUUGGAAAGCCCUUUUGUUGGGAAAGAAAAGCAGCCGGUUAAGACCCCGCUGUUCUGACGGUACCCAAAGAAGAAGCACCGGCUAACUUCGUG